AGCGCGCCCCGACUUGAGUGGAAAUCCUUUUUUGCUUUGACUUUGGUUCUAAAUUAUUGAGAAAUCGUGAGCAAAAAAGAUUGGGAACGGAAGGCGGAUAAAGGC
rnacentral:sRNA from 1 species